UACGAAGGGGCUAGCGUUGCUCGGAAUCACUGGGCGUAAAGGGUGCGUAGGCGGGUCUUAAGUCAGGGGUGAAAUCCUGGAGCUCAACUCCCAGAACUGCCUUUGAUACUGAAGAUCUUGAGUUCGGGAGAGGUGAGUGGAACUGCGAGUGUAGAGGUGAAAUUCGUAGAUAUUCGCAAGAACACCAGUGGCGAAGGCGGCUCACUGGCCCGAUACUGACGCUGAUGCACGAAAGCGUGGGGAGCAAACAGG
rnacentral:rRNA from 1 species